rfam:Myotis davidii contig222243, whole genome shotgun sequence.
CUCGGUGGGUGGGGUCCCUCAGCCUGGAUUGUGAAAGGGUGCAGGCCAAGCCGAGGGACUCCACCUGUGCACA